CCUACGGGAGGCAGCAGUGGGGGAUAUUGCACACUGGGGGAAACUCUGAUGCAGCGACGCCGCGUGAGGGAAGACGGGCUUCGGAUUGUAAACCUCUGUCAUUGGGGAAGAAAAUGACGGUACCCGAAGAGGAAGCUCCGGCUAACUACGUGCCAGCAGCCGCGGUAAUACGUAGGGAGCGAGCGUUAUCCGGAUUUACUGGGUGUAAAGGGGGCGUAGGCGGGCGAGAAAGUUGAAUGUUAAACCUCCCGGCUUAACUCGUAGCUGAGUUUAGAAAUGCUUGUCUUGAGUGAAGUAGAGGCAGGCGGAAGUCCUGGUGUAGCGGUGAAAUGCGUAGAUAUUAGGAGGAACACCAGUGGCGAAGGCGGCCUGCUGGGCUUCAACUGACGCUGAGGCCCGAAAGCGUGGGGAGCAAACAGGAUUAGAUACCCGGGUAGUC
rnacentral:rRNA from 1 species